GCCUGUUUAUCAAAAACAUGUCUUUUUGUGAAUAAUUUAAAGUCUAAUCUGCCCACUGAUAAUUUAUUAAAGGGCUGCAGUAUUUUGACUGUACAAAGGUAGCAUAAUCAUUAGUCUUUUAAUUGGUGACUUGUAUGAAGGAUUGAAUGAGAUAUAAACUGUUUUAAAGUUAAAAUAAAUUGAAUUUAAUUUUUUAAUUAAAAAGUUAAAAUAAAUUAAAAAGACGAGAAGACCCUAUAGAGUUUUAUAUUAAUUUAAAUUUAAUUUAUUUAUAAAUUUAAUAAGUAUAAAUUUAUUUUAUUAUUUUGUUGGGGUGAUAAAAAAAUAAAAAAAACUUUUUUUAAAAAUAUACAUAAAUAAGUGAUUUUUUGAUCCAAUUUUAUUGAUUAUAAGAAAAAAUUACCUUAGGGAUAACAGCGUAAUUUUUUUUUUUAGUUCUUAUAAGAAGGAAAGUUUGCGACCUCGAUGUUGGAUUAAGAUAAAAUUUAA
rnacentral:rRNA from 1 species